GGGCCCGCACAAGCGGUGGAGUAUGUGGUUUAAUUCGAUGAUACGCGAGGAACCUUACCAGGGCUUAAAUGGGAGAUGACAGGGGCAGAGACGCCCUUUUCUUCGGACAUCUUUCAAGGUGCUGCAUGGUUGUCGUCAGCUCGUGCCGUGAGGUGUCAGGUUAAGUCCUAUAACGAGCGCAACCCCUACCGUUAGUUGCCAGCGAUUCAAGUCGGGGACUCUAACGGGACUGCCGGUGCAAACCGUGAGGAAGGUGGGGACGACGUCAAAUCAUCACGGCCCUUACGUCCUGGGCUACACACGUGCUACAAUGGUCGGUACAGGAGGGAAGCUACCCCGUAAGGGAUGCGGAUCUAUAAAACCGAUCUCAGUUCGGAUCGGGGUCUGCAACUCGACCCCGUGAAGCUGGAAUCGCUAGUAAUCG
rnacentral:rRNA from 1 species